AUUGCAGAAGAGAGCAGACCACUUUAAUCUUCCUCCAAACCCAAAGAGCUUCUGUUUUACAGGAACCACUGCCAUUUCAAAAACAGAUGAAGAUAAAACUAGUUACACAUCAUCUCUGUAUGGCAGCUCUGGAUGCACAGUGAAGUGUCGGAUGGUCUUGAAGAGAAGAUAAAGGAAGUACAACACUGCUCGGAUGAGAGUGAUGACAACGUUAUUCUUGAGCUCACACCAGACCUGGACCCAAGUGUACCUGAGCUUAGAAGAAUCGACUGUGUAAUCGUAUGUUUAUUUGAACAUAUUCACUUGUUAAUAUGAAAAGUGGCCAGUUUUAAGACAAAGGACACAAAAAUGAAGAAAA